GAACAAUUUCUAAAAGAAUAUCUAAUUAGUUUCCAGAGGAAAUAUAAAUAGUUUAAAUCUGUAAAAAAAGCAGCGAGGAGAAUUAUUAUUUAAAAUUUCUCAAAAGUUUCAGAAUGGAAAAUUAAAAUUUUCUAUUAAUAAAUGGAAAAUGUUUAGUCUUUUAAUUCUUCCAUUUCUCUAUUUCUCUCUCUCUCUCCCUCUCUUUCUAAAAGAUUCUACAAUGAAAAAAGAUCGUUUCGAUAAAAAUCUCGAUCUAAUUUUCACCUUAUUCAAAGUUACGUGAGAUUUUGUUCUCACGUUCCCGAUUUUAUCCCCAGUUUUAUCCACAAGGAACAUUCCGUCGAGCAACCUUGUCACACUUUUCUUCGUCAAUCAGAUCCAGUUUCCUCGACACGAACUUCGAAGUUUCAUGGGGAUCUCGAUUCUUGAAGGAUCUUGAUUCAUUGGAUAUCGAUCGAGCACGGAUAUUCGUACCUUGUAAUUCAUUAAAACGGUCAUGGAUUGAUAGUUUUACUCGACGAUUUGCUAUUAUAUCAAGUGACGCGGACGAAUUCCAUGCAGGAAGAUACCCGUUAUUCAUGGAUCGUUGCUUCCGUCAUUCCAAUGCAUCGACGAAGAACGUUCGAGUUUCCUCUAAAUUUGUUUCUUAUCGAUUUACUCGAGAAAAGGGAAGUUCUCAGAAUGAAACGAUAACGAAACAAAGACUCUGUUUCCAUAAAGAAAAUUGUAGUAAGAAAAGUGUAAAGAAGCAAUGUUUGAGAUUUAUCAAAUGAGAAAUGACUUAUUCGCACACCUUUUGCGAAUACCGAAUAUUAUAGUUGAUUCGAAUUGGUUAAUGGUAAUUUUUAGGUAAAUUUUAAAUAAAUAAUUUCACCUAAACCGAGUUGAGAAUUCAGAAAGCUGGUUAAUAAAUAAUCCUUUUCAUUUUCAAAAUAAAAAAUUCAAAUGUGAGGAUUGUACAUCAUUAAACGAUAAUAAAAUUGAAACAAAGAAGAUAUUAAUAAACAUAUUUUGUCAAUGUAUUAGAAUACAAGCAUAAAUAUCAACUCAAUUUCGAGAAAAUUUUGAUCCAUUCGAAAAAUACUAACAGCUCCUGAUUUUAUCCAAGUAUCCUUAUUUCCCUCUCUCUUUCUAAUUAAUCCUUCAACUUAAUUACCUCGGGACAAGAAAAGAGGGAAUAAGAUUAUACACAACGUUGACAACUUUCCUUUAUUCAAAGGAGCGCUCUCUCUCUCUCUCUCUCUCUCGAAAGGAACAUUGAAAUACGAUAAUUAGUUUUUCUUUUUGCUUAUUUUUUUAUUUUUUUUACAGGAAUAAUUGACCCAAAUAGAGAGAUCCGUUCGCAAAUAGAUAUUAUUAAGCGAAACAAUCGCAAAGCGUGUCUUAAGCGAGAGAUAAAUCGCUUCCGCGGCUACGUUAGUUUCCUCGUGUCCAGAAUUAUUUAUGUAUCCGAGGGGAGGAGUGGAGGCCACUCUCUCGAGAUGCAAAUGAGAAUUUUUCGAUACGGUCGGGUAGAGCGUGGAGAGGUUUCGCCUGAAUUUUCAAAGCGCGAGCUUUACAUUUAAAAAAUCCGAGGGAUUUACGCGUGCACUUACCUCUUCCUCCUUUCUUUUCCUCUCUCUCUCUCUUUCUCCCUCCCGCAAUUUUUUCUUAGGUCGCCUUAGUAUGAACUUUGUAUGACAAAGUACCCUUCGAACUAGGAUAAAGUUCAUUCGAUAGAGAAAUAUUCUCCAUGACGAGUUUUACGAUGGCAAAAGACGACGUAAAUAUUGGCGAGGAUCUCUCCAAGGAUGAAUCAUCAUCUAUGGAUAUUUUGUUUUUCUUUUUUCCUCGUAUGUACAUAGAUAUGGAAUAAGAAAUUCGGAGAACGGCGAAGAUUUAGCGCGUUGAGUACGUCUGAUAGCAGCGGGAAAGUAAACACAGACGAAAUCGUGUUUAUUAGCUACGCUAUUAUCGCUCAGUUCGUUCAGCUACACGCCACGAGAAAGCUGGUAUAGUUGAACGGGAGAAGAUUUCAGGAAGAUAUUUCAAAAUCGAGCGAAGUGAAGCGAGGAAGGAAUCUUUCUCGUUCCUGUGACGACUAAGCCCUUGAAUCAGAGGAAAUUGGAAACGGAAUAUUUCCACGUGCUCCAAGAUCGUUUAAGGAUAAAUUUAAUCGUAUCGAUGGAAACCAAAGAACCAAAUGUAAGACUCGACGUUGCGGAAAAUCGGAAGGAAAGAAAAUGAGAUCGAAACGAGCGUCAAAAUGCAGCGAAAAAAUGGUGACACCAAUUCUCGAGGAACGAAGAGAAUUGCGUGGAUUCGAAUAAGCAUGGAAUAAGCUGAGAUAACUGGAAAUAGCAAGAAACUGGGCGAAAAGGAGGGAAAUAUCCUUUGGAAAAAUCCAUUGACUUUCCAAUGAAUGAAAAAUCACAUAACGACAGCUUUAAUUAUCUUUCUCGGUUCCAGUUAAAUCCAGUGUUAUAUAACCGCUUUGGAAUUAAUUUCCAGAUGUAUUUCAUUUAUGUAUAUAUAUUUUUACGAUUUAACUUUUUAACAGCGAGAUGAAGAAAAAAAUAAGAACACGACAUUUUUGAUAUUUUUUUUCCUUUGAUAUUGAGAAUUUUUUCCACCUCGGUAAAAAUAAACACUUGCACUUGUUUUGUUAAAGAAAAAAAAAUGAUAUAUAAAAUUCAUGAAUAAAUUAAGUAAUGCGAUAAAAAAUUCUUUAUUACGUAUUUCCAAGAAACGAGAGAAUAGGUCACUCGCAACAUCGUGACCUGAAUUUUGGAUGAACAAGAGGAUUUUAACGGAGGACGAAUCUGUGCUUGAUUAUCACAGAAAUCGAAAGUUGGAUACAGAUAUGAACAAGUUGCUGCUGCUCGAGAAAGUUGAAACGCUUGCCAUUAUCCUCAAACUUUACGAUCUUAUGAAUUCUAUUUUAUGCGAAUAUAUAACCUUAUGUUAUUUUUUUUGUUAUAAUACAACAUGAACGUAUCUUCAGUUAUUCUGACCGAAAAUGAAAAACGUGUUAAUAAAAAUGAAUCAAAAGAAUCAUAUUUACACAAUGUCCAAAAUAUAAAUAGAAGUAGAAUUUUUAACUUAUAUUUAUAUACCGAAUAAUAAUAAACAGAAUUUUAUAAUUUUA